AUGAUUAUUUUCCUCUGUGUGACCUUCACAGUUAUCCAGGUCUCAGGUUCCUCUGUCAGAGUAAACCAGAGUCCAGAUCACAUGUUCCACCAUCCAGGAGAAAACGCCAGUAUCAGCUGUUCACAUAAAAUCCAGGACUACACCCGAAUCUACUGGUACAAGCAGUUAAAGGACAAAACGCUGCAGCUUCUGGGAUACGUGAACGUCAACAACGGAUAUCCAGAGCCUGGAGUUAAUGUAGAAUUAAAUGGAGGUGCAACCCAAGACCAGACCUGCGCCUUAACCAUUAAAGCAGUGGGUCUGAACACCAGUGCGGUUUACUUCUGUGCUGCUGGUAGACACAGUGACAGGAACAGCUGUGACUCUGUACAAAAACCUCCCCAUCAUGGUUUGGCUUUGUGUUUGUGUUGA